ensembl:lncRNA
AUGGACAGAAAAAGAAAAAUGACAAACCAAGAGAACAAGAGACAAUUUACUGAACCAGGAGAGAAACAGAUGCUGAGACUAACCAGACAGAGCAGCAUUAAUAGCGGAAAACCAAACUUUUCUCAUGAUCCAGACACACCUGAAGAGAUUCAUUCUGAUGAUUCAGAUGGAGGCACAGAUGAGGUCAGAUAUUACACAUCAUACAUAGAAAUAUAUUCAAACAAAAUUAUGCAGCAACUUAGCCAGUUUAUCAAAUACAGUCCUGAUUAAACAGUUUUCUAUGCAUAGUUAGGACAGGCAGUAGUAGAAGAAUGUGUUGUUUUUUUUCAUAUUGUGCAUUUUUUCAUAUAAAUGAAGCUUUACAGUAUGUUACUGUACUGUAUGAUACUGUAUAUACAUAUACAAGACACUGACAGUAAUGAUUUAUUAUUAUAUAUUAAUAUUAUUAUUAUAUUUUAACAAUGUAA